GGUGGGUUGUGCCGAAUGGUAAGGCACUGGUUUCGAAAACCAGCGUCCCGCAAGGGACUUGCAGGUUCGAGUCCUGCACCCACCGCCA
rnacentral:tRNA from 1 species